rnacentral:rRNA from 1 species
GAACGCCGUAGCAAUACGGAGUGGCAGACGGGUGAGUAACACGUGGGAACAUGCCCUUCGGUUCGGAAUGACUCAGGGAAACUUGAGCUAAUACCGGAUACGUCCGUAAGGAGAAAGAUUUAUCGCCGGAGGAUUGGCCCGCGUCUGAUUAGCUAGUUGGUGGGGUUAUGGCUCACCAAGGCGACGAUCAGUAGCUGGUCUGAGAGGAUGAUCAGCCACAUUGGGACUGAGACACGGCCCAAACUCCUACGGGAGGCAGCAGUGGGGAAUAUUGGACAAUGGGCGCAAGCCUGAUCCAGCCAUGCCGCGUGAGUGAUGAAGGCCCUAGGGUUGUAAAGCUCUUUUGGCGGGGACGAUAAUGACGGUACCCGCAGAAUAAGCCCCGGCUAACUUCGUG